CAGUCGCCGCGGUAAUACGGAGGGUGCAAGCGUUAUCCGGAUUUAUUGGGUUUAAAGGGUCCGUAGGCGGAUCUGUAAGUCAGUGGUGAAAUCUCACAGCUUAACUGUGAAACUGCCAUUGAUACUGCAGGUCUUGAGUAAAUUUGAAGUGGCUGGAAUAAGUAGUGUAGCGGUGAAAUGCAUAGAUAUUACUUAGAACACCAAUUGCGAAGGCAGGUCACUAAGAUUUAACUGACGCUGAUGGACGAAAGCGUGGGGAGCGAACAGGAUUAGAUACCCGCGUAGUCCCUGUCUCUUAUAA
rnacentral:rRNA from 1 species